GUGUUUUGUAGUUGUGUUGUCAUGUUUUGACUGAUGUAUUUACCAACUGUAUUUAAUGGUGUUUUGUUGUCAUGUUUUGAAUGUUUUAUUGUAGUAUCCCUCAACUGUAUUUAAUAGUGUUUUGUAGUUGUGUUGUCAUGUUUUGAAUGUUGUAUUGUAGUAACCCUCAAGCUUUUUUUAGCCAUAAACUAAAAAAAUGUAAUCACAGAAAAUGUUUAUACUUGUAUAUAAUAUUUGGCAUUGUAUUAAUAUCACCGCUGUCAUUUUCUUUAUGUUAGCUAGCUUUUAAAUUUUAAAUUUUAAAUUUAUUUAAUCUUUCUUACCAUUAUCUGCGUAUUUGCAUUUCAAUGUGAGUUCAACCAUAAUUUUUCUGUCGGAUUGUCAUGUUUAUUCAACUUUAGUUUUAGAAGUGGGGGAGGCAUGAUUUUAAAAUUAUUAUUAUUAUUUUUUUAAAUGGAUAACCACUCAAAACAGCCGACCACUCGGAGGAAUCCACAUGGUCCUAAAGCACAAUGUUGCCCUGUUUUGUAUCACCUCCCAAUGCUAAAACUGGGGGAGACAAAAAUAUAAUUUCAGAAUGUGGAGGGGACAUGUCCCCAGUGAAAGUUGGGCACCUGGAUAACUAUCACUGGCUGUCUCAUGGAGUGUGUGAGGGUAAGUGUCAUGGUGGUAUGGCCUGAACUCAGAGUCUGAUCGAAUACCAAGGGAAACCACAGUAACUGCAGUAAAACAUGGUGGAACAAAGCCAGCUGGCAGUAACUUCACUUACUGCUUGGUUUUAACUUACAUUUUGUAGUUACAGCAAAUUUGAAACUCCAUGUUCUCUGAAACAGAAGCUAAUAGAACCAGGACACUUUGUCACAAGAUAUAACAGAAGCUAAUAGAACCAGGACACUUUGUCACAAGAUAUAACAGAAACUAGUAGAACCAGGACAAUUUGUCACAAGAUAUAACAGAAGCUAAUAGAACCAGGACACUUUGUCACAAGAUAUAACAGAAGCUAAUAGAACCAGGACACUUUGUCACAAGAUAUAACAGAAGCUAAUAGAACCAGGACACUUUGUCACAAGAUAUAACAAAAGCUAAUAGAACCAGGACACUUUGUCACAAGAAAUAACAGAAGGUUAUUGAACCAGGACACUUUGUCACAAGAUAUAACAGAAGCUAAUAGAACCAGGACACUUUGUCACAAGAUAUAACAGAAGCUAAUAGAACCAGGACACUUUGUCACAAGAUAUAACAGAAGCUAAUAGAACCAGGACACUUUGUCACAAGAUAUAACAGAAGCUAAUAGAACCAGGACACUUUGUCACAAGAUAUAACAAAAGCUAAUAGAACCAGGACACUUUGUCACAAGAUAUAACAGAAGGUAAUUGAACCAGGACACUUUGUCACAAGAUAUAACAGAAGCUAAUAGAACCAGGACACGUUGUCACAAGAUAUAACAGAAGCUAAUAGAACCAGGACACUCUGUCACAAGAUAUAACAGAAGCUAAUAGAACCAGGACACACUGUCAGAAGACAUAACAGAUACUACUAAGCCUGAUUUCAGUCUGAACUCAUCUUUGACCAAAUGUGUAGCAGCAGUUUGCAAUUGUAUGUCAGAAUAGCUGUGCUCAUAAUCCUUAUACCUCUUCAUGGACUACAGUUGAACAUUGUCUUGUUUUAGGGUGUGAACUGGUAUGGUCUGAUAUGAAUUACAGCAGUUAUUUUAACAAUGCUGGUUAUAAAUAUUGUUGACCUUCAUCCAUGGAGACCUUGACUUGCAUUACACUCGCUGCAGAAUUUUUUUUUCAUGAAAUCAUGUGACUUCUAGCUAGAGAAAAUGAUUCCUAUAAACGUGCCCUGAUACAAGCAAGAAACAAGUUAUCGAUGAAACAAAAUGUGACAAUCUGACCUAUGACCCCUAAAAUACAGAUACUGCACUCGGCCUUUGUAUGACCUUAAACAGCUGUAUGGGUAAUGCAAAAGCAAAGUAGAGUAUCUAGAAAUGUAAAUGUGUUGAUCCAACAUUUAGUUGUUUUUCUGUUUGAUUUGAACAGUUUGAGUUCUAACUACAUUCCAACUGUAUUUAAUGGUGUUUUGUAGUUGUGUUUUCAUGUUUUGACUGAUGUAUUGUAGUAACCCUCAACUGUAUUUAAUGGUGUUUUGUACAUAGUUGUGUUGUCAUGUUUUGACUGAUGUAUUGUAGUAUCCCUCAACUGUAUUUAAUGGUGUUUUGUAGUUGUGUUUUCAUGUUUUGACUGAUGUAUUGUAGUAUCCCUCAACUGUAUUUAAUGGUGUUUUGUAGUUGUGUUUUCAUGUUUUGACUGAUGUAUUGUAGUAACCCUCAAGCUGUUUUUAGCCAUAAGGUUAUUUAAUCACGGAGAAUGUUCAUACUUAAUAAAUAUGUGAUUUUGUAUUACUA